rnacentral:siRNA from 1 species
GAAUGAACUAUUGGGUGUUCAAG